AUUGGCAGUACCCAGACCUGCAACUAUAAGUUCGACAACGAGGAGAAGCACAUGACCUCUGCCAUUUGCACAGAGAAGCACAUAUUUCUUCCUUUCUCUUACCAAAAUACGUAUGGUAUCUCUUCUCUUGUUAAACAAAUCCUAACUCUUGAGGGAACCAGCAAGAUUAAUGACAGAGUUUUUGAUUAUCGUUCUACUCACCCCAAACACUUGGCUCUAGAGGCA